rnacentral:rRNA from 1 species
AUUGAACGCUGGCGGAAUGCUUUACACAUGCAAGUCGAACGGUAGAGGGGGCAACCCCUCGAGAGUGGCGAACGGGUGAGUAAUAUAUCGGAACGUGCCCAGUCGUGGGGGAUAACGUAGCGAAAGUUACGCUAAUACCGCAUACGAUCUAAGGAUGAAAGCGGGGGAUCGCAAGACCUCGCGCGCUUGGAGCGGCCGAUAUCAGAUUAGGUAGUUGGUGGGGUAAAGGCUCACCAAGCCAACGAUCUGUAGCUGGUCUGAGAGGACGACCAGCCACACUGGAACUGAGACACGGUCCAGACUCCUACGGGAGGCAGCAGUAGGGAAUUUUGGACAAUGGACGCAAGUCUGAUCCAGCCAUUCCGCGUGCAGGAUGUAGGCCCUCGGGUUGUAAACUGCUUUUGUACGGAACGAAAAGGUCUCUCUUAAUACGGGGGGCUCAUGACGGUACCGUAAGAAUAAGCACCGGCUAACUACGUGCCAGCAGCCGCGGUAA